UGACUGUAAUUGAAAUUUUGAGAAUGUCAUGCAUCACUCUGAUCCAGAGAUGAUAAUUUCUCAACCCAUGCAAUUUCUGAGUCA